CAUCCUGCAGGCAACAUGGAGAUACUGUGGACCCUUCUCUGUCUAAUGGCAGCUCCCCUGGGUGUGCUGUCUGAUCUGACACUCCGGGAGUCAGGACCGAGCCUGGUGAAGCCCGGAGAGACCCUGUCCCUCACCUGCAGUGUCACAGGAGGUUCUGUAUCCAGUAGCUAUGCUUUGAGUUGGAUCCGGCAGCCUCCUGGGAAAGCUCUACAGUGGAUGGGGAUCUGGGCAGGGGGCACAAUCUAUAACCCAGCCUUCCAGGGCCGCAUCUCCAUCACUGCCAACACAGCCAAGAACCAGUUCUCCCUGCAGCUGAACUCCGUGACCACGGAGGACACGGCCGUGUAUUACUGUGCAAGAGACACAGUGAGAGGGCGUCAGUGGGAGCCCAGACAGAAACCUCCCUGCAGGUGUGUUUUUAACCAGCAGGGGGUGCCCACGACCACCAAGCUCAGAAACCAGCUUCAGGAACAAAUAGUGCGGCUAGGGGUGUGCUUUCUGAGUCUGGUGUGA